AAUAAACAAAACAAACAUAAGAAUCUAAGGAGGGGUUAUUGGUUUAUAGAUUUAUAAGGAAUUGGAAAUCCAAACAAAAUUAUUUGUUAUUCAAUCAUUGAUUUU
rnacentral:sRNA from 1 species